rnacentral:rRNA from 1 species
AUUGAACGCUGGCGGCAGGCCUAACACAUGCAAGUCGAGCGGAUGAAGGGUGCUUGCUCCUGGAUUCAGCGGCGGACGGGUGAGUAAUGCCUAGGAAUCUGCCUGGUAGUGGGGGAUAACGUCCGGAAACGGGCGCUAAUACCGCAUACGUCCUGAGGGAGAAAGUGGGGGAUCUUCGGACCUCACGCUAUCAGAUGAGCCUAGGUCGGAUUAGCUAGUUGGUGGGGUAAAGGCCUACCAAGGCGACGAUCCGUAACUGGUCUGAGAGGAUGAUCAGUCACACUGGAACUGAGACACGGUCCAGACUCCUACGGGCGGCAGCAGUGGGGAAGACUGGACAAUGGGCGAAAGCCUGAUCCAGCCAUGCCGGGUGUGUGAAGAAGGUCUUCGGAUUGUAAAGCACUUUAAGUUGGGAGGACGGGCAGUAAGUUAAUACCUUGCUGUUUUGACGUUACCAACAGAAUAAGCACCGGCUAACUUCGUG